GACGAACGCUGGCGGCGUGCUUAACACAUGCAAGUCGAACGGAAAGGCCCUGCUUUUGUGGGGUGCUCGAGUGGCGAACGGGUGAGUAACACGUGAGUAACCUGCCCUUGACUUUGGGAUAACUUCAGGAAACUGGGGCUAAUACCGGAUAGGAGCUCCUGCUGCAUGGUGGGGGUUGGAAAGGUUCGGCGGUUGGGGAUGGACUCGCGGCUUAUCAGCUUGUUGGUGGGGUAGUGGCUUACCAAGGCUUUGACGGGUAGCCGGCCUGGGAGGGUGACCGGCCACAUGGGGACUGAGAGACGGACCAGACGCCUACGGGAGGCAGCAGUGGGGAAUAUUGCGCAAUGGGCGGAAGCCUGAUGCAGCAACGCCGCGUGCGGAAUGACGGCCUUCGGGUUGUGAACCGCUUUCGCCUGUGACGAAGCGUGAGUGACGGUAAUGGGUAAAGAAGCACCGGCUAACUACGUG
rnacentral:rRNA from 1 species